CUCUUGCAAGAAUCAAAGCUGGGAAAAUACUUUCAAGUGUUGGCAAAACUAUAUCUUAAACAAGUAUGGAGAAGUUAAGUUCGAAGCAACCUAAUAUUUUAUACUCUUGCAACUUUCAACAAUCAAAGCCGGGGAAAAAAUUCUUUUUGAAUUUUGAUAAUAAAUCUGACUGGUUCACCGCCAUUUUAAUUCACAUUUUCGUCAUCUGGGGGCUUGAAUAGUUUUGGUCUGACUUAGUCCAUUUUUGGCCAUUAUGUGACACACCUCACAGCUCUAUUCGUGCAAAGUUUUUUCCGGAUACAUUGAUUGGUGUUUAAUUUGCAUACUGGAAAGUGAAAGAAUUCGAUGGUUUUUAAAAUUGUGUUAAAUGAGAAGUAGGCGUUGUCGUAGAUAAUGCUAUCUACCGAAUGUGUUUCAAAUCGGUCGAGCAGGUCUCGAGAUAUAGGUCGGUGGCACGCUAAGUUUAACAACGGCUCCCAUUAAGCCUUAUCUUAUGAUCUUGGACGUAUAAUUUUAAUUUUCUAACUUAUUCGCUUAUUGUAUUUUAAGUGAUUUAGGAGAAAUAUACAUUCAAGAAUGAUAGAAUAUAAGAUUACGACGACCGCCAUUACGAAACGUCAUAGUUCCGUGUUGAGAAGAACAAGAGUGAAAAACUGUCAAAUGGCUUGCAAACAGAAAAGUAAACACUUUUGUAAAUUCGCAAAAUAUUAUUAAUUCUUUCGAUUUUAAUGAAAAGUUUUAGUGAAGCGAUUGAAUAUUGUUGAGUGAAAAGAUUUGAAUAAUUUCUAAAGAAAUAUAUCGGGCUAUUGAUAAUAAAAUUGUCUAUUAAGUUGUGAUUCAAAUGGAGAAGACGUUUCUUGUGUUGUAUAUAAAUAUAUAAAUAUGUAUAUUAUAAGUUCAGAUGUAUCAGAUGUAUGAAAUUAUGAUAAAAGAGGUUCAUAAUAUCUUCAUCUCUAAAGUGAUCUCUGCAUAUUAAAGAGGAUUUAGUAUUAAAUAUAUCAUUUCUUUUGCAAAAUAACACCCAUUUUUUGGCAACUUUUAAAUCGGCCGGAAAACUGAAAAAAUAGUUUUCGAUCCUUUAAUUGCAUAAUAAUUAUUACAACAAGGCACUGCACAUUUCAUUUUAAAAAAUUAAUAUAUUUAUGCUUAGAAAUUUAAAUAAAUACAGCAGUACACUUUCACUGGUUUUCUUCAUUUGAACAAUUUCCACACAUGCUACUCUAUUUAUUGUGGAUGUGCCUAAAACUACUUACAUACAUAUAUCUUUUCUCGCAACAAUAUUCUAAACAUUCCACUGAAAUUUUUCCUGCUAAGACGAAUGAAUUAAUAUUAUUUUGGGAAUUUCCAAAAGUGUUUACUUUUCUGUUUACAAUUUGUUUGCAUUUCUAUGCUUGUUCUUCUCAACGCAAAACUGUUACGUCACGAAAUUAUUGCACAAUGUAUUUGUUUUUGUAAGAAUUGUCACGAGCUAAACCGAAAAAAAAAACUAACGGUAAACUAGUGUCGUAAUCUUAUAUUCUAUCAUUCUUGAUGUACAUUAAACCUUUUAGGGUGCGUGGUCAACCCCAUUCUUUCAAAGUUUUGCUACUGUAAUCCCCUGCGCCAAAUUACAGUUUUAUAUCUUAAUUUGAAGUUCAGUUAUGGUACUUUAUAGACUUUCAUUUAAUGGCAAUUACGCUCAUCUACGAACUUGUUCUCAUUUUCUUGCUAAGGUACACGUGGAUGCACAGAUAGACAAUCCGACGGACAGACAGUCAGUCGGACUUCUAAUCGAUUCAUCCUGAUUAUUUACAUACAUAUAUACUAUAUAUUAUAUAUAUCUAUGUCGAUUAGUUCUAGUUGAUACAAACAGUCGUUAAGUGCACACACUAUUAUACCAUGUAGCAACAUUUUGCAUGAAUAUACACAUUUUAGGAACAUUUUCAACAUUAAUUAUUUGACAAAACAGUUAACCAAUGCACCAUAAAUCUGCCGCAGAACCUUUCUCUCGAAAACUCGCAACGUCGACUUAUCAGAUGUUGUCAUCGUCCAGGCCUCUGUACCAUACAACAUGACGGGAAUAAUGAGUGACUUAUAGAGUUUGGUUUUUGUUCUUCCAGAAAGAACUUUACUUCUCAAUUGCCUACUCAGUUCGAAGAAGCACCUGUUGACAAGAGAUAUCCUGCGUCGGAUUUCGAAGCUGACAUUAUUGUUGUUGUUGAUUCUGGUUCCAAGAUACACGAAAUUAUCUACUACUUCGAAGUUAUGACUGUCAACAGUGACUCCCCCUACGGGUAGGGGGGGAACCGAAUAUACCCGUGGUAAGGAAUGCCUGUCGUAAGAGGCGACUAAGAUCCUGGCCGCCAGUCCAGAGUUGUGUGGAGACUCAACUGGCAGUAACUUCGGUUAUGAGGUCUUACCAGAGACUUAAACCUGGUACCACGGGGAGCAGUAAUGCCCUUGGAGGUAAAACUCCAAUCUGCUCAUUGGGUUUGGCCCUUUGUGGAGAUUCGUGGUGGCUGUGGUUAAAACCCAAAUCGCGGGAAGAUCUGACUUUGUCAGUUCAAAUGUGGAGUUGCAUUGCAACCGGGUAUCGGACCCAAAGUACGGCAGAGAUUUUAGAUGGACCUCGAGCCCUACCAAGGUGGUUAGUGUGUCCAUGCCACACGCCGAUUGGUACUGGAAACCUGUCCCAGUUUUCAGGGCGCUGAUCAACGCAUUGUAUUGAUCCGUUGUGCUUCUGAGCACCGUGGAUUUAAACCUUCGCAGGUAGGAUCCCACGUAAAACACGAGACGUUGUUGUCAACAGUGACGUGGGAGCCUAGUCGCGAGUGCGACGACUGCUUGUUUUGUGACAGGAGAAAUUUCGUCUUGCCCUCGUUCACUACCAGACCCAUUGGCCUCGAUUCCUGAUCCAUUCUGGAGAAAACAUAACUAACGGCGCGGUUGUUGAGGCUAAUGAUAUCGAUAUCAUCGGCGUACGCCAGCAGUUGCAUAGUCUUAUAGAAGAUAAUACCUUCCCUAUUUAGUUCUGCAGCGCGAAUUAUUUUCUCCAAGAGAAGAGUGUUCUCUGCCCGAUCCACAAAACGAAGGACCCCACAAUCUGCACGAACUUCCGUAGGAUAAGCCUCCUCAACAUCGCAUUUAAAGUUUUAUCGAGGGUACUACGUGAAAGAUUAAAGUUCACCGUCAACAAACUGAUUGGUCUUUAUGAGUGUGGCUUUAGACCGACAUGAAAAAUCAAAAACUGACCAGAUAUUCACCGCGCGCCAAAUCUUGGAAACGAUCCGAGAAAAAAGGAUCGACACUCACCACCUCUUCAAAGCUGCUGUUGACUUACGAAAAGGAGCUGCCUUUAUGCCGCUAUGUCUGAAUUUGGUAUCCCUGCAAAACUAAUACUGAUAUGUAAACUGAAGUUAAGCAUUACCAAAAGCUCCGUUAGAAUCGGGAAGGACUCUUCAAGCCAUUUGAUACAAAAUGAGAUUUCAGAAAAGCCAACUCCCUAUCGUGCGACCUCGUCAUUCUGCUGCUAGAGAAAAUAAUUCGAGCUACAGAAUUUAAUUGAGCAGGUACAACCGUCUAUAAGAGUGUGCAGCUUCUGGCGUAUGCCAAUGAUAUUGAUAUCAUUGGCCUCAAGAGCCUCGCAGUUAGUUCCGAUUUAUCUAGGCUCCUACGUCGCGUUGACAUCCAUAACUUCGAAGUUGUAGAUAAUUUCAUCUCUCUUCGGACCAGCAUUAACACCAACAAUAAUGUCAGCCUCGAAAUCCAACGCAGAAUAUCUCUUGCCAACAGGUGCUAAAGUCCCGACGAACAAAAACCAAAGUCUAUAAAUCACUCAUUAUUCCCAUCCUGCUAUAUGGUGCAGAGGCGUGGACGAUGACAACAUCUGAUGAGUCGACGUUAUAAGUUUUCGAGAGAAAGGUUUUGCGAAAGAUUUGUCGUUUUUUGACGACGACAUUGACAUAGUCGCGGGUUGUUGUUAACUCGGCUAUAAUCGCGUAAGCGGUGUCUACGCCAGUAAAGAAGAAGGAGAACGUUUUAGUUAUUGAUUUCUUGCACUUUUAAUAGUUUUGAGCUAAACCUAGCUAUAAUAUUAUAAUAUAUAGAAUAGACCGAUUCCACCCAUCUGUAAUACCAAUCUGCUUGGGUGUCGAGGAACACGUGUACUAAGUUUCAAUACGAUACCUUAAUUUUUACUCAAGCUAUAGACAGACAGUUACUCGGAAUGUCAUUCUGAUCAUUUAUACGAGUAUAUAUGUAUAUAACUGUAUCCGAGAAGAAUUGCUCCGGAAAUCUAAGCCCGUUUAGAUCGUAUCGUCACUGGAGCAAUGCCUUGCAUUCGUAUCCUCCUCACUCGUGUUGGCAUUGAUUUCAACCCGGGUUUGGAGAAAUUCAUCUGUGAUGUUUGCGCCAAAAGGCUCCAUCCAAACUCCAACUCGGUCAGGUGUAAUAGAUGCAAUAUAUGCAGCCAUCUGAAGACUUGCUCAGUGAUCAGGCCUUAAGACACACAGGGAGUGGACCACGAGUUACAUGGUCCCAUGUCGCACUACUGCGACCUUAACAUCUACGGCUGUGCAACCUACACCACCUCCACCCGAGUGGCAAACAAAGCACCUCCACGAUUCAUAGGAGCUCAGAUAGGCAACAUGACUCCCAUUCUGAUCAGUCCCACACCUCUAACCUUCAUCCCGCUGCAAUCCUCAUGCGAGAACCACUCUGCAUCUCCUUGUUCCUCGCACAGUCUGUUUCGUGUGUCAGACCAUCAUACGUCGAAAUGUUACAUCUUUCAAGUGCAAUUCAUGUUCCGGCGUGAGUGGAGAGUGUCGUAUGUUGCCCCAUGCUGCAGGGGUCUGUCCAACAAAUCCCAAGAGUGGCAUCGCCCACUAACAUAACAGCGCGGCAACCGCCCCACCACCUACAUGCCAUUCCCUUACUUCCAGGAUCACCUACAGACACCCACGUCAAACUCGGAUCUUACAAUUUAAUUGCAACGAACUCCAGAGCAAGAUCGAAGAUAUAGUUGCAUUUAUGAUCCGGAAACGCGUAUCGAUAGCUGCGGUCUAAAAAACCAAGCUAAACAGCUUCUCAGAUCUUCUGAGGUGUGAAGGUUUCAACGUUGUACGUAAAGAUCGCGAGCGAGAUAACGGUGGAGGCCAAGUCUUCAUACUACACAACACCGUUCCAUAUCGUCUUAUCGAUGGCGAUAUCGGCCGCGGAGAUACUAUCCUAGAAUGUCAGGGUAUAGCUAUCCGGCCAGGCGUUGUCGAGAUAUUCAAUAUACAGAAACAUCCCUAAGUUACAUGUUGCCAUACAGUAGCGAAAUAUACGUGCGAGUUUUAGUUUGUUCGAGCGGAGGAAUAAAAAUGCCGACGAUGUUACUUCUGUGACAUUAUACUUUAUUCUGAUCCUUUUUUUCUGCUUAUAUAACUACUAAAGUGAUUGCAAUUUUCUUAAUCUGUUUCUUUGUUUUUUUAUUUUCUUAUGAAAUACAAUAUUUGUUAAAUGUAAUCUUAUUUUCUAUUGAAUGCAAACAAACAUGAUUGUGUGGUUUACCCGAUAAUGUCUGGGUUAUCAUUACAGUCAAUUGCAUUUUUUAUUAAAAUAGUUUCUUCAUCAAUUUGAAAAAUUUCUGUAAUGCUAUUUUUGAUAAGUUCACAAUUUAACAAGUAGAUGCAAUGUUUAGAAAUUUGUAGUUCAUUGAGUGUUUUUAGCUUCUUCGAAUUUAUAAGUGACAUUUUUGUAUUCAAAAACAUUUUCAAUUUCUGCUGUCAUUUCUUCUUUUUUCUAUUUGGUAUAGGAAUAAUAGUUUUUAAUUGUACCGAUUGAAAUUCUUUUGGGGUUUUGACCACGAACAUUAACAAAUUUUCUUUAUAUUCCAAGGCGCAUAAUUUAAUAUAUUGAAUAAUGUUUUCCUGAAUCUGGUUUACUGGGUCUUUGAGAAUGUUUAUCUUUAUUGUUUGUUCAUGAAGAAUCAAUAUUUUGUCUGUUCUCUCUUGAUACAUUAAAGAAUUCUUUCUUUCGUCUUCAAUAAUUUGUUUUAAUUUUGUGAACGUGUUCGAAAAGAAAUUAUUAUUUUUUUUUUUUGGUGGUUGAGAGCUGUAAUUGAAUUAUGUAAAUUUUCAUCUACUUUCUUAAUGUGAUUUUCAAUAUCUAUUCUAUCUCCAUCAUUCAUCGUUCCAAAUAGAAAUUUAUGUACAGAACCUAUACCGUUAAUUAAACCUCUCUUUUUUCUACUAACUUCUUUUCUUGGGAUUAAUGUUUUGGUUUUACCUCUCAAGUUUUCUAUUUCAUUAGAUAGGGUGUAGUAAUGUAGAUGUGAAUAUGUUUGCGAGAUUUUUGUUAUAUUAUUUAGUAUGUAAAGAAUUUCACGAGGGUCAAUUCUGUGAAUUACGAGGUCAGAUGAUGUAACAAUCUGUUUAGUGUUGGUGAUAAUUUCUGCGUAUCCAUUGUCGGUAUGUAUUUGAUGUACUUCCAGUUUGGCUGCAUUAUUAAUUAUUACAAUUGCUAUCAUCAAUGAUAUUUUGAAGAUGUAUUUGACCUAAAAAAUUUGUUUGGACGUUUAAUAUUUGUCAGGUGAAUAUUAUCUAAUGGCGAUUUUCUAUACCUUGGUUCGUAUUUGUGCCGAACCGCUUUAUAAUUUUUUACGUAACCUUCUUUUUGAGUGUUAUUAAACUCUUCUCUAUUUCUAUUUAGUUUUCUUAUGCAUUUUUCUUUAGUCUUCUGAAUAGUGUCUUUAAUCAAAUUUUUAUCAGUUUUUUCCAUUUAUAACCUCAAGAGGUGUGGUUUUAAUUGUAGAAUGAUAAGAUUUGUUAUACCAUUCUAUGCUUUGAAAUACUUUAUCCGCUGUCGAAAGGCUUGGUUUUUCAAUUUCUAGGACUCUAAUUCUUUCGGAGAGAGUAUUAUGAAAUCUUUCGAUAUCUGAAUUCCCAGUAUGACUGUUUGGUUUUAUAAAAUGAACUUCUAUUUAUUCUUUCCUAAAAAAAUCUUUAUGUUAAUUGAGUUGAAUUCAUUAUCUAAUAUUAACUUUCUGGGUCUUCCUUUGAUAGAAAAGAAUAAUCUAAGCUUUUCUAUAAUAGUUAUACUGUUUCUAUCUUCUAGCUGAAAUGCCAUAGCAAAUUUCGCAAAUUUGUCUAUAAAAGUAACGAAGUAACAUUUUUUAUUUAUGUACCCGUAUAUAUCUGCGUGAACUAUUUCAUUUAUAUCUGAUGGUGUUUUCGUUAAUUGAAAUUUUGGUUUUAAAUCAUAUUUUGCUCUAUUGCAUCGCAAUUAUUUAUAUAUUUUUGAAUCAAAACUUUCAAAUUUUUCCAGUAUAUUAGUUUUUUCAAUUUUUCAUAAUUUUCAUUAAUACCUGCAUGGCCUGUUUCAUUUUUAUGAUAUUGAGCAAUUUGUUUAUAAACUUGUUCUUCAUUUUUCAUAUCUUUAGCAUGGAAUUCACAUCUAAAAAAGUUUACCUGUCUAUUAAAUAUUUGAAUGAGCUUUUGCUGAACUAUAUUGUACUGAUUAUCGGUUAAAUAAGAAAAAAUACCUACUUUUCCCCUAUUUAUGUGCCUACGACAAAGAUCUAUGAAAUUAUUAUUUUUUAUAUCUUUUGCGCUAAUAAAAAUUUUCUUCGUGUUGCCUAGUUCUUCAGAUUCCAUAAUUUUCUUUUUUUGUUAAAAUGAUUUGUGUAUUGAAGCGAUUUACAAUAGUAUGUAAAAUUGGAAAAUAAUCAUUUAGUUCCUCCUCUUGAGAGUGGAUUGUAGCAUUUGUGCUUAUGUUGUCUUCUUCCAAUGAAUGAAUCUCGCCUGUGUUACUAUGUAUCUAUUCGACUUAGAAAAUCGGCUACGUCAUUUUCCUUUCCUUUCACGUAUUUUAUAUUAAUAUUGUAUUCACCUAGUUUAAUUAACCAUCUUUGCCAUCUUGGGUUAAUGUCUUUUCCCUUGUUUUUUAUUUGGAGCCACUUAAGUGGUUGGUGAUCGGUUAAGAGAUCAAAUGCUCUGCCGUAAAUGUAUGGUCUAUAAUAUGUCACUGCCCAGACAAUAGCUAGUAGUUCUUUUUCUGUAGUGGAAUAACUUCUUUCGUGUUUGUUAAGUGUUCGAUUAGCAUAGCUUAUAGGAUGACUGUCCUGGGUUAAUACUGCGCCAAUUGCAAAGUCACUUGCAUCAGUUGAAAUGCCAAAUUUUUUGUUAAAGUCUGGAUAUUUCAGUAUUGGUGGAUAUGUACUGGGUUCAAAGGAUGAUAUGUACUGAGGAUCGCGAGUGUUUAUUUUAAUAUCCUUUUUUAAAUAUUUUGUUAAACCAUGUGCUACUUUAGCGUAAUCUCUUACAAAUUUUCUAUAAUAACCUGUUAUACCUAGGAAUGAUUUAAUUUGCUUUGAUGUAGUAGGCAACUUUAGUUUUUGUAUGUUUUCGAUUUUGCUUAAAUUUGGUUGUAUCCCUUCUGUUGUUAAAGUGUGACCAAGAAAUUCAGUUGUUUUCGCCAAAAAUUUGCAUUUAUCUACCUGAAUCUUUAAAUUAUGUUUUCUUAAUGCUGAAAAUAUUUUGUUGAUAUUUUGGGCAUGCUCUUCAAUACUUGAACUACUUGAAAAUUAAGAUGUCGUCUAAAUAAACUAUACAUAUCUUGUUGAUAUAUUCCCUAAGAACUGAAUUAAUUAAACGUUGGAAAGUUGCUGGUGCAUUCUUUAGUCAGAAAUGCAUUCUUAUAAAUUCAAAGUGUCCUUGGGGUGUAGAGAAAGCUGUUUUUGGUCUAUCUUCUUUUAUUAAAGAUUGCAAGAUCUAAUGUUGUAAAAUACUGAGCUCUUCCAAGUUUGCUGAGUAUUGUUUCUAUAUGGGGUAUUGGAAAUUUGUCAUCUAUAGUGACUUCGUUUAGCUUCCUGUGGUCAAUAACUAUUCUCCAUUUUUUCUUAAUUGAAUUGUCUUGCUUUUUCGGUACAAUCCAAAGAGGCGAGUUUACGGGGAAUCAGUUUCUUUAAUUAUACCUUGGCGCAACAUCUCGUUCAUCUGUCUACUAAUUUCUUCUUCAUGAAUUUGGGGAUAUCUAUAAAUUUUAUUAUAAGUUGGUCUACUUGUUUUUGUAACAAUUUCAUGCUGAAUUUCAUGAGUAUGAGAAAGGUUUUUACCUUCUUGGAAAAAUUAAUAGCUAUUUGCUUUUAGAAUGUAUUCUAAUUGUUGCUUUUCUUCUUCAUUCAUGUCACUAUUUGAUAAAAUAUCUAGCAAAUGCUCUUUACAUUCUGUAAGUAUAUUAAUAUCUUCGUAACUGUAAGGGCAUGAGUUUAUAAAUUUAAUUUUGUUACCGUUUAUUUCUACAUACUCCUUUUCUAAAUUAAUAAACAUAAGGUUUUAAAAUAUUCUGUCCUAUUAUAGCAUAAAAGUUAUUAUUUUUUAUGUUGGUUAGUUUCCAAUGUAUAUAACUUUUUUCAUUGAAUUCGUUUGGGGUUGGGGUGACUAACUCUUUAUUUAGGGAAACAUUUUCCUUAAUGGUGCUAAAGUGUAUUGGUUUAUCAAGCUCAAUGCAUUCAUAAUCUUUUAACACAUUAUGGGCCCUAUUAUGAGUUGCAUUCGAUCUUCGACAACGAUCGAAAAUGCUGGUCGAACGAAUUUGCAUUUGGUAUUACGACGCUCAUUCGUUGAAGAUUAGCGUUAUUGUGAAUUGCAAUCAUUUUGAAUGUUCACGAUAGCAUACAUCUGUCAGAUAAAACUAACAAAUAUUUUAUAAAUAAAGAAAAUAUAAAUAUAAGUUAAAAUAAAAUAUGACUAGGUCUGAGUUGUGGUUUGCCGAUUCUUCAGAGGAGGAUGAAAGCUUACUGGAAUUGGCUAGAAAUAGAAAGAAGCUAAGGGACGCUUCCAAUCCUUUGGAAUUGGAUUCCGCUACAUUUAUAAAAAACUUCCGUUUGUCGAAAAAGGCGUUUGUUGAUUUGCUGUCCGCUACAGAGGAGAUGCUGCAGCGAUGCACACGAGCGAAAUCUAUUCCCAAUAUACUAAAAUUGGCAACAGCUUUACGAUUUUGUGCUCAGGGAUCGUAUCAACUUAGUAUAGGGAAUGAAAACAUGCUUGGACUUGCACAGCCCACGGUGUCUGUGGUACUAUCUGAGGUACUCGAUGCCCUGGAGAAUUUCAUUUGCCAAAGAUGGAUAAAAUUCAAUUAUACCGAGGCUGAAAUGCAAGAAGCAAAAUCACAUUUUUAUAGUAAUACCAGAUUUUCUGGGGACUUUCGGCCUGCAUAAAAUUAACAAAAAUAGUAUAAAUUAAUUAUUUGUUACCAUAAAGCAAUAAAUAAACGCAAAAAACCUACAUUUUCACAAAUUUCCAUUCACUACGCUACGCUGUCGAUAGGUAAAUUCUGUUCGACAGCCAUUUCGAUGCUCAACGAAAAUUUCGACAGGGUUGCAUAGCUCAUAAUACGAAUUUGACAUUCGAUUUUCGAUAGCCAGCGAAUAGCGAAGAUCGAAUGCAACUCAUAAUAGGGCCUAUAUUUCAAUAAUGAUGUUGUAGACCCUGUGUCAAUAAGACAUUUAAUUUUUGAAUUUUUUAUGGUCACUUCUAUUAUCGGUAACGAUUGUUUUGGGCUGGCAACCGAAAAUUUGCUUGUUCUUGAACGUGAUCUAUUUCCAUCGGUUCGGGGGGUUUUGUCUCCUUUGGACUGAAUUAUAUCUUCUAGAUUGUUGAGAAUUAUUUUGCCUAUUUUGUCCAAAGCUAAAUUGUUGAUAAUAGUCAUUUUGGUUAGAAUUGUUACGAAAUUAUCUCCGCUGAUUUUGUCCAAAUUGAAAAUUAUUGGAAUUUUGCAUAUACUGUUUAUUAUUGAAAUUGCCAAAAUUUUGAGCCAAAGAAUGAUAAUUGUUUUGUCUUUUAUCAAAUUGUAUUAGCAAACCUGUCUCUUGAAGAACGCUAAAAGCCUCUCUAAUGGUGCUUAUAUUUCUACUAAUCACUCAUUGCUUAAGUUGGGGUGUAUCCCAUUUAAAAAUGUUUUUAGAAUUAAACUUUCGUUGUUAAUUGGAGAAAAUUCUAUAGGCUUUAUCCUAUCGAAUACAUGUUUUAAAUUUAGUUUAUCUAAAAUAUCUUUUAAAUUUUGAAAAUAUUGACUUACGUUAUAGUUUCGUAGUACAAUCGCCUGAUUGUAUAGGGUGUGGUACGACUCCUUUACUCCAAAAUUCUUUAUGAGUUCUUCUCUCAUUUGCUGCCAUGUUGGUGUAGGUCCCAAAGGCCGGAUGACACUUGCUGCUUCUCCUUUAAUUUUUGUUUUGACGUGUCGCUGCGUUGCAAAUUCCAACAUUGAUGGGUUGGGGUUGAAUAAAGGAAGGAUCAUGUCAACUUCCCUGAUGAACGAUGAUAAAUCUCUGCCGUCAAAGUCCAUGAUUCUUGAAGCUUCCUUCAAAAUUUGCGAUCCUGUCAUCUGAAGUGGUUGCUGCUCGCCUGGAUUCAUUGCUAAUAUAUCCUCUUUUAAUACAACUGAACUUGUUGUUGUUGCUUUGUAUGGUGCACUUCGCUCUCUCUGCGUCUUCUGUGUGUGGGGCAUUAAUCUUUAAUCCCACUUUUCCUGGUAAUGUUGAUGGGCGGAAUGAAGCUAUUCUUCGCCUUCACAAAUUGUAAUCCUCGGAGUCGCUCUCCGACGUUCCAGAUAACUUGUGUAGAAACUUAAGUUUCUUAAACUUGGCUAUCUGUGCCGACCGACUUAUAUAUUUAUAUAUAUAUAAGAGAUCUUUAAAAUGGGAGCUAAUCUUAGGAUUUGCUUCCCGUUGCUAAAUCUUACGAAACUUAAAAAACUUCAGUUUUUAGUAUCGCUCAACUUUGCAGUUUGUUUUUACCGACUGCGCCAGUUUUAGUUGUUCGAGCGGAGGAAUAAAAAUGCCGACGAUGUUACUUCUGUGACAUUAUACUUUAUUCUGAUCCUUUUUCAAAUUAUGUUCUGCUUAUAUAACUACUAAAGUGAUUACAAUUUUCUUAACCUAUUCCUUUGUUUUUUUUUUUAUUUUCUUAUAAAAUACAAUAUUUGUUAAAUGUAAUCUUAUUUUCUAUUGAAUGCAAACAAACAUGAUUGUGUGGUUUACCCGAUAAUGUCUGGGUUAUCAUUACAGUCAAACAUAAGGACCAAAACAUGUUUGUAUGUAUUUGCAUUAUGUUCUUUAUCUCUACUUGUUACCUUAUUUUUUGUAAUGUUUACUUAUUUUUCUUUAAUCUUUUAUUUUAUCCAAUUUACAAUAUUUUGUUGUAUGGUGUCUGGUUGGGAUGACAGUGUACACAUAGCUUGCGCUACUUUUGGGGAAAGCAGUUUACUACUAGGCUAAUUUAACGCGCCUCACGAUCUUUGGCAAUCCUGUCUGUCAAAUGAUCGUAAGGGAAUGGAGCUGGCGGAACAGAUUGACGAUUCGACAUUCUGCACAAUGAAUGACGAAGCCCCACCAAAGUUAUGCGCACCUGUAAUAGCUCGCCCGAUAUUACCAUUGCUAGUGGUGGUCUGAUAAAUAGCAUAACCUGGCGACCUAUGCUAACUCUCGAAUCAGACCAUCUGCCCAUACAUCCUUAUGCUAAAGCAUCUAGGCUCGACGGGAGUAAGCUAUCUUACCAAGGUCCUCAACCUGUCGCUGACCAUUAUUCAAAUACACGAUGUGUGGAAAGUCGGAAGAGUGGUCCCACUACUGAAACCUGGGAAACCCGCCAACAAAGGGGUGUCCUAUAGUCUGAUAACUCUCCUCUCCUCAGUAGUGAAGACAGUUGAGGUCUUGCUACUCCUGACCUUCAUUCACCACCUGAGUCUAGCCUACCACGAGCAUGGAUUCCAAAAAGUGCACAGCACCAUCACAGCCCGUAGCGUCAUAAACGCUCAGAUAGUUCGUGGCCUCAACCAGAAAUCACCCGGUGAGAGAACGAUCCUCAUAGCGUUGGACUUGUCAAAAGCUUUUG